GUACCGGAGAGCUCCUCCGGCAACAAUACCAUGUCCACUUGGUAAACCGCCAAAGGAAAUUGCUGUCUCAGUGCAUUGUUGAUCUGCGUCUCCACGAUCCCAGUAGACACGUUCACUUGGUUGCCUUGGCCUGUGAAGUUGAGCCCGAAAACGCCACCGUCUUGGCCGGUAGCCUGGGUCCUAACAGGGUUGCUAACCAAUAGCAGAUCGCUCAAGGAGUAGAACUUGGGUAAUACGUGAUAAAGCACGAGCUGCACUUUCUUUUGAGUGUCGAGGUUGUUUAUGGUGCCGGCUUUGAGGUUGCGAAAGGCAUUGUCGGUUGGGGCGAAGACGGUCAUUCCCUCGGUGGAGCUGUUGAGUUGGUUUCGGAUUUGGGAGUCGACUUGGGUGGUGUUGAGGAGCAUAAUGAAGGUGGUGAACUGGCCGGCUUUUUCAAGGAUUCCGGU
rnacentral:lncRNA from 1 species